AGAACGAACGCUGGCGGCAGGCCUCAAACAUGCAAGUCUAGGGGGUGUAGCAAUACAUCACCGGCGGACGGGUGCGUAACGCGUGGGAAUGUACCUAUUGGUUCGGAACAACUGAGGGAAACUUCAGCUAAUACCGGAUGAGCCCGAAAGGGGAAAGAUUUCUCGCCAAUAGAUCAGCCCGCGUCCGAUUAGCUAGUUGGUGGGGUAAAAGCCUACCAAGGCGACGAUCGGUAGCUGUUCUGAGAGGAAGAUCAGCCACACUGGGACUGAGACACGGCCCAGACUCCUACGGGAGGCAGCAGUUGGGAAUCUUGGACAAUGGGGGAAACCCUGAUCCAGCCAUGCCGCGUGAGUGAUGAAGGCCUUCGGGUUGUAAACUCUUUCGACGGGGACGAUAAUGACGGUACCCGUAGAAGAAGCUCCGGCUAACUCGCGCCAGCAGCCGC
rnacentral:rRNA from 1 species